AACGAACGCUGGCGGCGCGCCUAACACAUGCAAGUCUCACGAGAAACCCUGUAGCAAUACAGGGCGGUAAAGUGGCGAACGGGUGAGUAAUGCGUGGGUAACCUACCUCCGAGAUGGGGGAUAACCCGCCGAAAGGCGGGCUAAUACCGAAUAAGACCACAUGCCGACAGGCACGGGGUAAAAGUGGCCUAGGGUCCGCAAGGGCUAUGCUGCCGCUUGAAG
rnacentral:rRNA from 1 species